UACAGAGGUGGCAAGCGUUGUUCGGAAUUACUGGGCGUAAAGGGCGCGUAGGCGGCCUUCUAAGUCAGACGUGAAAUCCCCCGGCUUAACCUGGGAACUGCGUCUGAUACUGGGAGGCUAGAGUGCGGGAGAGGGAUGCGGAAUUCCAGGUGUAGCGGUGAAAUGCGUAGAUAUCUGGAGGAACACCGGUGGCGAAGGCGGCAUCCUGGACCGACACUGACGCUGAGGCGCGAAAGCUAGGGUAGCAAACGGG
rnacentral:rRNA from 2 species